GAUGAACGCUGGCGGCGUGCCUAAUACAUGCAAGUCGAGCGAACGGACGAGAAGCUUGCUUCUCUGAUGUUAGCGGCGGACGGGUGAGUAACACGUGGAUAACCUACCUAUAAGGCUGGGAUAACUUCGGGAAACCGGAGCUAAUACCGGAUAAUAUUAUGAACCGCAUGGUUCAAAAGUGAAAGACGGUCUUGCUGUCACUUAUAGAUGGAUCCGCGCUGCAUUAGCUAGUUGGUAAGGUAACGGCUUACCAAGGCAACGAUGCAUAGCCGACCUGAGAGGGUGAUCGGCCACACUGGAACUGAGACACGGUCCAGACUCCUAAGGGAGGCAGCAGUAGGGAAUCUUCCGCAAUGGGCGAAAGCCUGACGGAGCAACGCCGCGUGAGUGAUGAAGGUCUUCGGAUCGUAAAACUCUGUUAUUAGGGAAGAACAUAUGUGUAAGUAACUGUGCACAUCUUGACGGUACCUAAUCAGAAAGCCACGGCUAACUACGUG
rnacentral:rRNA from 1 species